rnacentral:lncRNA from 1 species
AAUAAGGAAUAUUGGAAUGUGUUGUGUGUGUGCAUCUGUGUCGCGGGAGGAGCGAUGCGCCGAUGCUAGUCACGCUCGCCGUAGGAAGCACUCGCGUUGGUAGAAAACGAGCUUCAAUGUCGACAGAACCUUCCUUCGUUCGCCCUCUCCUGGGAGGAGAGGUCUUGAGCUCGAACUUGGUGUAUCUGGAGGUAAACCAAAAAUGUUAGUAAUUUGUUAGAAAAGUAAGUUAGUUUAAGGAUUGUUUAUAUUCAUGUCGUGUAUAAGGAUUCUUUUAUAUUUAGAGUAGAUGAUAAGAGGUCAUAAUUUUUAAAUCUUUUGAUUGGUUGAAAUCAAAAGGCCUUACUUAAUUGGUGUUAUACUUUUGAGAAUUAAUCCAAAGAUUAUAUGAAGUAAAAAUGAGGUACAAUG